AGUGAGCUCUGUGAGAGAUAACACUCCCAUACACUUUAAAUCUGGGUGAAGCAGAACUCAGAGAAGGAUGAUUUUAGGACAGUGUAUUUUAUUCCUACUCAUUUCAUAUUCUUAUGGACAGUCCCUGACCUCCUCUGAUUCUGUGGUGAAGAGACCUGGCGAGUCGGUCACUCUGUCCUGUACUGUCUCCGGAUUCUCAAUGGGCAGCUACUACAUGCUCUGGACCCGUCAGAAACCAGGACAAGGACUGGAGUGGUUCGGGCACAUUGACACUAGCACUGGCACUGCAUUCGCUCAGUCACUACAGGGCCAGUUCUCCAUCAAGACACCAAUAAAAACCUACCUAGAAGUGAAGAGUCUGAAAGCUGAAGACACGGCAGUUUAUUACUGUGCACGAGAGUCACACUGA